GGUGUCGGGUGCAAUGAGCGGCUGCAAGAGAUGAUGAGGACAAUGUGUUCGGAGCGGGGCGGUAGACUGUUUGCCACCGAUGACAGGUAUUGUAUUGACAAUGGAGCAAUGAUAGCCUACACAGGACUCCUCGCCUUUGCACAUGGUAUGACCACUCCUCUGGAGGAAUCGACAUUUACUCAAAGGUUUAGAACUGAUGAGGUCGAAGCAAUUUGGAGAGAGAAAACUCUAUCGGAAAUUAGUGGAAAAACAGAUUUGAUCUUGGAG
rnacentral:misc_RNA from 1 species